rnacentral:rRNA from 1 species
GACGAACGCUGGCGGCGUGCUUAACACAUGCAAGUCGAACGAAGAGCGAUGGAAGCUUGCUUCUAUCAAUCUUAGUGGCGAACGGGUGAGUAACGCGUAAUCAACCUGCCCUUCAGAGGGGGACAACAGUUGGAAACGACUGCUAAUACCGCAUACGAUCUAAUCUCGGCAUCGAGAAUGGAUGAAAGGUGGCCUCUAUUUAUAAGCUAUCACUGAAGGAGGGGAUUGCGUCUGAUUAGCUAGUUGGAGGGGUAACGGCCCACCAAGGCGAUGAUCAGUAGCCGGUCUGAGAGGAUGAACGGCCACAUUGGGACUGAGACACGGCCCAGACUCCUACGGGAGGCAGCAGUGGGGAAUCUUCCGCAAUGGACGAAAGUCUGACGGAGCAACGCCGCGUGAGUGAUGACGGCCUUCGGGGUUGUAAAAGCUCUGUU